UGGCUGGCAUUGCCCUCUCCCUCUUUCUUGGCCUAAGGGGUGAUCCUGUCCCAUGUGAUGGAUGUGCUGGAAAUGGAGGUACAAAAUGUGUCUUUAGCUC